UACGAAGGGGGCUAGCGUUGUUCGGAAUUACUGGGCGUAAAGGGCGCGCAGGCGGCCCUCCAAGUCAGGCGUGAAAGCCCCGGGCUCAACCCGGGAACAGCGCUUGAGACUGGGGGGCUUGAGUUCGGGAGAGGAGAGUGGAAUUCCCAGUGUAGAGGUGAAAUUCGUAGGAUAUUGGGAAGAACACCGGUGGCGAAGGCGGCUCUCUGGACCGACACUGACGCUGAGGCGGCGAAAAGC
rnacentral:rRNA from 1 species